rnacentral:rRNA from 1 species
UGAGGAAUAUUGGUCAAUGGGCGAGAGCCUGAACCAGCCAAGUCGCGUGAAGGAAGACAGUCCUAAGGAUUGUAAACUUCUUUUAUACGGGAAUAACGGGCGAUACGAGUAUUGCAUUGAAUGUACCGUAAGAAUAAGCAUCGGCUAACUACGUGCCAGCAGCCGCGGUAAUACGGAGGAUGCGAGCGUUAUCCGGAUUUAUUGGGUUUAAAGGGUGCGUAGGUUGUUCGGUAAGUCAGCGGUGAAACCUGAGCGCUCAACGUUCAGCCUGCCGUUGAAACUGCCGGGCUUGAGUUCAGUGGCGGCAGGCGGAAUUCGUGGUGUAGCGGUGAAAUGCAUAGAUAUCACGAGGAACUCCGAUUGCGAAGGCAGCUUGCCAUACUGCGACUGACACUGAAGCACGAAGGCGUGGGUAUCAAACAGG